rnacentral:rRNA from 1 species
GAUUGUAGUCUGCAACCCGACUACAUGAAGCUGGAAUCGCUAGUAAUCGCGGAUCAGAAUGCCGCGGUGAAUACGUUCCCGGGUCUUGUACACACCGCCCGUCACACCAUGGGAGUCGGAAAUGCCCGAAGUCAGUGACCCAACCGUAAGGAGGGAGCUGCCGAAGGUGGAGCCGGUAACUGGGGUGAAGUCGUAACAAGGUAUC